AUCCACAGCCAUAUCACCCUGCAGCCCAAAACCGGUUACUCACUGAAGCUAAGCAGGGCUCAGCCUGGUUAGUACCUGGAUGGGAGACCACUAGGGAACACUAGGUUGCUGUUGGAA
rnacentral:rRNA from 1 species